UAGUAUUUAAUAUUUUCUUUUUUAUUCUCUUUCAUCUUAAUGAUAGCUGUGAUUGGGUGGUCAUAUUCUUUCCCACACAAAUUCAUAUUUAAGGAAAUAUCGAUGUUCUUUCAAUCACCUGGGAAUUGAAUCUCGUCCUGAAAGAUCCACUAUUUUCUAAUAUUUAGAGAUUUCCUCCAUAUUUGAAUAACUGACAUAAAAAUAAAAGUGAUGUUACCUUUAUGCAUAUUUCAGGUUUGUAAUACCAAUAGAGUUGAGAGAAACUUUAGAAGCCUUUCGGGACAGGAACAUUACAGGGGGAGUCAGCAAAAGGAACCAAGAAGUUGGCUGAUGAAGGAGGAAAACAGGUUUUGUGUGGUGUCACAGAA